rnacentral:lncRNA from 1 species
GUAGGAUCUUUCAACACUCUGUGGAAGGGAAUAAGCUGCACUACACUGAAUAUUUAGACUAGCAGCGGCAAGCAGAAGGGCAGACAUAUGCCUUUGGCUUGAUUCAAAUUUAUCAAUGUCAUGUCAUAUAACAAAGACAUGUGGUGCCUCAUUCUAUUGGCUUCACAACAUCAAACGCAUCAGCAAGUUUUUAUCUCGGGAAAAUCUGUUGACUGUUAUACAUGCCUUUGUUACAAGUCGACUAGAUUAUUGUAAUGGUCUCCUGUAUGGUUUACCUAAUACUGAAUUGAUUAAGUUGCAGAGGGUUCAGAA